rnacentral:rRNA from 1 species
GACGAACGCUGGCGGCGUGCUUAACACAUGCAAGUCGAACGGAAAGGCCCUGCUUUUGUGGGGUGCUCGAGUGGCGAACGGGUGAGUAACACGUGAGUAACCUGCCCUUGACUUUGGGAUAACUUCAGGAAACUGGGGCUAAUACCGGAUAGGAGCUCCUGCUGCAUGGUGGGGGUUGGAAAGUUUCGGCGGUUGGGGAUGGACUCGCGGCUUAUCAGCUUGUUGGUGGGGUAGUGGCUUACCAAGGCUUUGACGGGUAGCCGGCCUGCGAGGGUGACCGGCCACAUUGGGACUGAGAUACGGCACAGACUCCUACGGGAGGCAGCAGUGGGGAAUAUUGCACAAUGGGCGGAAGCCUGAUGCAGCAACGCCGCGUGCGGGAUGACGGCCUUCGGGUUGUAAACCGCUUUCGCCUGUGACGAAGCGUGAGUGACGGUAAUGGGUAAAGAAGCACCGGCUAACUACGUG